UACAGAGGUCUCAAGCGUUGUUCGGAAUCACUGGGCGUAAAGCGUGCGUAGGCUGUUUCGUAAGUCGUGUGUGAAAGGCGCGGGCUCAACCCGCGGACGGCACAUGAUACUGCGAGACUAGAGUAAUGGAGGGGGAACCGGAAUUCUCGGUGUAGCAGUGAAAUGCGUAGAUAUCUGGAGGAACAUCAGUGGCGAAGGCGGCCACCUGGACCGGUAUUGACGCUGAGGCGCGAAAGCGUGGGGAGCAAACAGG
rnacentral:rRNA from 1 species